rnacentral:lncRNA from 1 species
AUGAAGCUAAAGGCUUGCAGGGCCCCGAUGGCAGGGAAUCAGCAGCCUUUCCUGGGGCUGGAGGCCAGGCUGACUCACAUGGCCCUCUCUCUGGUCCUGGUGGUCUCCUUCUUGCCCCUAGUAGAGGGCAGGUCCCACUCUUCAAUCCUGCUCAGGUUCCUCAGCUCUCCACUGCUGCCUCCCUUGGACUUGGCCAACCCAAGCGGCUCUCACAGCGGCGCUACCCAGCCCAGCCGUGACAAGGCGCUACCCAGCCUGGCCUGUCUACCAAGUCUCCUGUGGAGCAGAGGUUGCAAGAGUCCUUGCCAUGGGGACAGAAACAGACUAUUCAUUUGUACUGAGCCCCUGCCCUUUUUCUGCCCCUUUUCCUCUUUCCCCUAGGAAUGUUGCCAGUACACCUCCCCUUGCAAAGAGCAUCAAUAUUAAGGCUGGGGAGAGGUGGAUUUGCUCCUUUCUGACACUGGGUAUCCAUCAUUUGGCCAAGUGUCUAGUCAGUGAUGAUUGGCUAGUGGAAGGAGUUUUCAGGGAAGUUCCUGUAAGGGGAAAGGUAUAUCGAGGCUGGAUUUCAGAAGAAACAUCCUAUCAGUGAUGUCUCCGAGUCUGGGGAAUUCUUUCCCAAGGACCAUGUUGGAGUCCUCACCUCUUCACUCACUGGAGUCUGGAAUGGCCAAAGCACUGGUGUAUAUAUUGCAGGGAACAAUCCCACAGUGGCCAGGGGUGGGACCCAGGGACUGGCUCUAAACUGCAGAUCUCUUCCAUCAGACAUGUAAUAGCAAUGGUAACAUGAGUAAAUGUAUGUAUGGCCAUUUGACUGGCUGCCAUGCAGGACAUCAGGUGCAGAUUGCAUGUUUGCUCCCAGGCUGGGGAGAGCCAGGAGUGCUGUGAAGACAGUACAUGCAGCUCUGGGUGGGAGCAAGCUCAUGGCAUUUAAAUGCCUCCUCAGGCCAACCGGAGGAGUAAGGUUAAUUGUCUCUGGCGGGAGCAGCAUCCAGCCAAGAGGGGCCAUCGAUCACAACAUAAAGCCAGUGGAGACUGAGAGUGCAUCCUCCCCACAAAACAUCUGCCAUGGGAAUGGUUCAGGGAUGAUUCAAGGGUAGCCAGAGAUUGCAGUGCCUUCACAUUUGUAUAAGAUUCCUGACGAUAAAGGACAUAUUUGUAUGGUCUCUAAUAGCACCUACGCUGCCU